AUCAUAAGGUGGAAGGUGCCCAACGAGAGGAAGACGGACCUGCGCUCCUAUCUCUCACCCUUCUCCAGGUUUCUCUUAUAAAGACCCAUCUUUCCUUUACCCUGGCCUUCACCCAUGGCAAAGGGGGAUGCAAAGGGGAGUGUGGGGGUGAUGCCAUCACGAUGGGAGAGAGGAGUUUCUACAAAGAAAGAAGAUAGAAGAUUGAGUUUGUCCACUCGAUUAGCCUCUAUUUAUAGACACCAACAUCUACAUCAAUCGCUAAUCAAUAGCUGAAAGGGGCGUGGCUAUCCAUCAAGUAAUUAAUGAUGUAGCUUCCUAUUAUCACAAAUAAAUCCUGACAAUGCUACGCAGAUCGGGUCGUAGAAAUGUGGCAAUUCUUACACGUCCUAUGCUCUCUCCCAAGCAUAACCUUAUUAGAAAAGUCAG
rnacentral:lncRNA from 1 species